rnacentral:rRNA from 1 species
CUUAAAGGAAUUGACGGGGGCCCGCACAAGCGGAGGAACAUGUGGUUUAAUUCGAUGAUACGCGAGGAACCUUACCUGGGCUUAAAUGUAGUUCGACAGAUUGUGAAAGCAGUCCUUCUUCGGACGAAUUACAAGGUGCUGCAUGGUUGUCGUCAGCUCGUGCCGUGAGGUGUCGGGUUAAGUCCCAUAACGAGCGCAACCCUUAUCGUUAGUUGCCAGCGGGUCAAGCCGGGGACUCUAGCGAGACUGCCACCGUAAGGUGAGAGGAAGGUGGGGAUGACGUCAAAUCAGCACGGCCCUUAUGUCCAGGGCUACACACGUGUUACAAUGGCCAGUACAAAGGGCAGCUACCAGGCGACUGGAUGCUAAUCUCUAAAGCUGGUCUCAGUUCGGAUCGAAGUCUGCAACCCGACUUCGUGAAGCUGGAUUCGCUAGUAAUCGCGCAUCAGCCAUGGCGCGGUGAAUACGUUCCCGGCCCUUGUACACACCGCCCGUCAAACAAUGGAA